UAUAUUAUGUUUAUGAGCAAUGUGGGUAGUAUGUGUAUGUUUGAUGUGUUUUGGUUGGGGUUUAAGUUAGUUUGAGACCCCUAUGUGCUUGUUGGCUUGAGUUUGCAUGUUGUAGACUAGGUAAAUGCAUGAUGGAAUGGAUUGGGAGGCAUUUGUGUAUGAAAGAGGCUGAGUUCUGCCCUUUGGAAGAACUCAGGUUCGGCAGCCGAAGGGACUUUUGGCCGCCGAACCUGCCUGUGGAGGCAAGCCUUUGGCUGCCGAACCCUGCCCCCGAAAGUG
rnacentral:lncRNA from 1 species